ensembl:lncRNA
UUUUCUUUUUUUUUUCUGUUUUAAUUUAUGGAUAACCAGGGGCACAUACCAAAACUCAUACAUCAUUUACAAACUUAGUGUAAUGUAACAAAUUAUGUUGGCUGUCAGGGAAAAUGUAAAGAGUAAAAAGUACAUUAUUUUCUUUAGGAAUGUAGUGAAGUAAAAGUAGUCAACAAAUAUAAAUAGUAAAGUACAACCCCCCCCCCCAAAAAAAAAAUACUUAAUUAGUACUUUAAAGUGUUUUUACUUAAAUACUUUACACCUCUGGAUACAAUGGGUGGUUUUCAUUGAUGACAUAGAGUACUUGGUGCUGUAACGAAAACAUUACAGCCAAAACAUGACUAUCGUUUUCUUAUUUUGACAUAGUUGACAGCAUAUACACCGAGUGUAGAAAACAUUAGCAACACCUGCUCAGCUGUCCCCAGUCCACCUGGCCGUGCUGCUGCUCCAGUUUCAACUGACCUGAGCCCUACGACCAUGCCCCAGGACUACCUGACAUGAUGACUCCUUGCUGUCCCCAGUCCACCUGGCCGUGCUGCUGCUCCAGUUUCAACUGUUCUGCCUUAUUAUUAUUGGACCAUGCUGGUCAUUUAUGAACAUUUGAACAUCUUGGACAUGUUCUGUUAUAAUCUCCACCCGGCACAGCCAGAAGAGGACUGGCCACCCCACAUAGCCUGGUUCCUCUCUAGGUUUCUUCCUAGGUUUUGGCCUUUCUAGGGAGUUUUUCCUAGCCACCGUGCUUCUACACCUGCAUUGCAUGCUGUUUGGGGUUUUAGGCUGAGUUUCUGUAGAGCACUUUGAGAUAUCAGCUGAUGUUCUUAGGGCUAUAUAAAUACAUUUCAUUUGAUUUGAUUUUCAUGAUAUAUACGUCAUACAGUAAAUAACAAAACUAACAGCCGUAAAGGAAACAGGAAGUUUGCGGACCGUUUUCAUGAACACGCCAAUAGAUCAUUUGUUCCGUACAAAAUGGUGAGAUCUUUUUUGUGUUGGUAAAAAUAAUUAUGUGAUAAAUGGUGGUAAAAAUAUUGAUGUAAACUAAUACGAUGAAUAUAAUAUAUAUUAUAGAUAUUUGCCUGAUACAUGAAAACUUAAGCGAAAAAGUGCAUUUUUGUAAUGAGAAAAAACAAGUCAAUUUGGUGGAAACACUGGUGGAAAAUGUGCAUGUUUUCUUUAUGAGUAUUCACAUGAAAAUAUGUCACGAAUUGGAUGGAAACCUGGCUAGUGACUGACCAGGUGAAUCCAGGUGAAAGCUAUGAUCCCUUAUUGAUGUCACCUGUUAAAUCCACUUCAAUCAGUGGUGAUGAAAGGGGAGGAGACAGGUUAAAGAUGAAGGGGAGGAGACAGGUUAAAGAUGAAGGGGAGGAGACAGGUUAAAAAUGAAGGGGAGGAGACAGGUUAAAGAUGAAGGGGAGGAGACAGGUUAAAAAUGAAGGGGAGGAGACAGGUUAAAGAUGAAGGGGAGGAGACAGGUUAAAGAUGAAGGGGAGGAGACAGGUUAAAGAUGAAGGGGAGGAGACAGGUUAAAUAUGAAGGGGAGGAGUCAGGUUAAAGAUGAAGGGGAGGAGACAGGGUUAAAAAUGAAGGGGAGGAGACAGGGUUAAAUAUGAAGGGGAGGAGACAGGGUUAAAAAUGAAGGGGAGGAGACAGGGUUAAAGAAGGAUUUUUAAGCCUUGAGACAAUUGAGACAUGGAUUGUGUAUGUGUGCCAUUCAGAGGGUGAGUGGGCAAGACAAAAUAUUUAAGUGCCUUUGUACUGGGUAUGGUAGUAGGUGCCAGGCACACCGGUUUGAGUGUGUCAAGAACAGCAACGCUGCUGAGUUUUUCAGGCUCAACAGUGUCCUGUGUGUAUCAAGAAUGGUCCACCACCCAAAGAACAUCCAGCCAAAUUGACACAACUGUGGGAACCAUUGGAGUCACCAUGGGGCCAGCAUCCCUGUGGAACGCUUUCAACACCUUGUAGAGUCCCUGACACCGAUGAUUUGAGGCUGUUCUGAGGAGAAAAGGGGUGCAACUCAAUAUUAGGAAGUUGUUCCUAAUGUUUUGUACACUCAGUGUAAACCUGUCCGUGACCAUCAUCAGGGAAAAAAAUAACAAUUGAAAAAAAAAAAAAAACUACAAACUACAUCAUUUAGAUCUUUGUAAACCUUGUGGUUUGAACAUUUGAAUAAAAUACCUUUAUAUAAGGGUUAUAAAUUAAAUCUGACAUUAUCUACUAAGCAAAAGACUUUCAUUAGGCCUAUAUUAAUUUCUAAUUUAUCAGAGGUUCAUUAUUAAUUAUAAACCGGGUGGUUCGAGCCCUAAAUGCUGAUAGGCUAAAAGCCAUGGUAUAUCAGACUGUAUACCACAGGUAUGACAAAACAUUUAUUUUAACUGUUCUAAUUACAUUGGUAACCAGUUUAUAAUAGCAAUAAGGCACCUCAGGGGUUUGUGAUAUAUGGUCAAUAUACAACAGCUAAGGGCUGUAUCCAGGCACGCCGCGUUGCGUCGUGAAUAAGAACAGCCUUUAGCCGUGGUAUAUUGGCCGCACAUCGCCAAACCUCAUGCCUUACUGCUUAAUUAUACCACUCAGUGUGUCGUAAAUGGAGCAGUCUGGGCAUUGAUCUGCAGCGUCUCUGUAGAGUCAAUAGGAUUGAUCCAUUGAGGUUUUUUUGUAGCAGAACUAAUCACACAGAACCCUUUCUCCCUCAAUUAGUCACUUCAGACUCUCUUCGGGGUUGUGUCCUAAAUGGCACCCUAUUCCCUAUAUAGUGCACUACUUUUAACCAGGGCCCUAUGGCACCCUAUUCCCUUUAUAGUGCACUACUUUUAACCAGGGCCCAAUGGCACCCUAUUCCCUUUAUAGUGCACUACUUUUAACCAGGGCCCAUAGUGCUCUGGUAAAAAGCAGUGCACUAUAUAGGACAUAAGCUGACAUUUUGGACUGACCAUCUACUACCGAUGGCCCUUUUUUAGAUGAGUGUUUCUCAAUCUGUUUUUUAACAGGGACUGUGUUCCAGUCUGUUUUUGCUAAAAUGCCAACAAGUCCUUGUCACUCAUUGUUUUGUGAGAUGGUGUUGGUUGAAGCAGAAAGAUAUCUGAGACCAGGCUAGG